rnacentral:tRNA from 1 species
GCGCCGCUAGCUCAGUUGGUUAGAGCAGCUGACUCUUAAUCAGCGGGUCCGGGGUUCGAGUCCCUGGCG